AACGAACGCUGGCGGCGUGCCUAACACAUGCAAGUCGAGCGCGAAAGGAGCAAUCCGAGUAGGGCGGCGCACGGGUGCGUAACACGUGGAUAAUCUGCCUCAGGGUUGAGGAUAACCUUCCGAAAGGUUGGCUAAUACUCGGUAAGCUUACGGUGACUUCGGUCGCUGUGAGAAAACUAGACCUCUAUUUAUAAGUUAGGCCCAGAGAUGAGUCCGCGGCCCAUCAGCUAGUUGGCGGGGUAACGGCCCACCAAGGCUACGACGGGUAGCUGGGCUGAGAGGACGAUCAGCCACACUGGAACUGAGACACGGUCCAGACUCCUACGGGAGGCAGCAGUGGGGAAUUUUCCACAAUGGGCGAAAGCCUGAUGGAGCAACGCCGCGUGUGUGAUGAAGGUCUUCGGAUCGUAAAGCACUUUCGGCUGGGACGAAAAACCUUUGGCUAACGUCCAGGGGCCUGACGGUAUCAGGAGAAGAAGUAUUGGUUAACUCUGUGCCAGCCGCCGCCGUAACAC
rnacentral:rRNA from 1 species